rnacentral:rRNA from 1 species
GACGAACGCUGGCGGCGUGCUUAACACAUGCAAGUCGAACGGAAAGGCCCUGCUUUUGUGGGGUGCUCGAGUGGCGAACGGGUGAGUAACACGUGAGUAACCUGCCCUUGACUUUGGGAUAACUUCAGGAAACUGGGGCUAAUACCGGAUAGGAGCUCCUGCUGCAUGGUGGGGGUUGGAAAGUUUCGGCGGUUGGGGAUGGAGUAGCGGCUUAUCAGCUUGUUGGUGGGGUAGUGGCUUACCAAGGCUUUGACGGGUAGCCGGCCUGAGAGGGUGACCGGCCACAGUGGGACUGAGAUACGGCCCAGACGCCGACGGGAGGCAGGAGUGGGGAAUAUUGCACAAUGGGCGGAAGCCUGAUGCAGCAACGCCGCGUGCGGGAUGACGGCUUUCGGGGUGGAAACCGCUUUCGCCUGUGACGAAGCGUGAGUGACGGUAAUGGUAAAGAAGCACCGGCUAACUACGUG